rnacentral:lncRNA from 1 species
AUGGUCCACUGCUUAGCAGCAGUAGAGGAAUGUCCAGAUCUAACAAGUUGGGGAAAAUGCCAAGUCUACGGGAAACAGCUGAGUCCAACUGCUCUCCCACCAACCACCUGCCACUCUGAAGCACAAGGACAAACCCAGCACCUUGCUGUUGACUGGUAGAUCCCAGGCAGAUUUGGCUAUUGGUCUGGAUAGUCUUGCUGCUGUCCUGCCACCAGCGCUAGGAGAAGAUGACCAGAACCUGCUUCCUACAAACAUGCCCUGACAAGGAGCCUGUGCCUCCUACCCUACCUACAGUUUGUCCUUUAAGACAAAAUAAAUAGCUACUUACAAUGAACUUCUUUUGGGAAUACAUUUUCUAGCUUCAUCUUCAGUACCAACAACAACAAUGCCUAUUGAGAGCUAUAUUUUUAUCUUGAUCCUCCAGAGGAUCCAGCUAAGUGACCACAAGUUAUCAUCAUCAACCCCAAAGUUUCUGAUUCAGAAGUUAUACUUUUCCUGAAUAAACUUGUUCUCUGCUUCAGAACAAACUGGCCAAG